rnacentral:misc_RNA from 1 species
GCAAGCAUUGUUGAAUUCUUGAAAGUAAGACAAUUAUUGUAGUUUUUUUAUAAUGUCUUUUCUUUUCUUGCAAAUAGGAGGAUCACAUUAUUUUCAUGUUCCUAAUGUUAUUCCAUCUGCAACUGCAAUUAUUUUUACAUGGUUAGCUAUUAUGACAUUCGUCAGUUUGCAUUUGAGAUUAUGCUUAUAUUGCUGAUUUAUUUCUUGGAAGAGCUUGCUUGGAAAAUUGACAUACUGUUUUGCAUUGUAAUUUGUCAGCCAGAUUAUGGUUCACUUUUACAG